rnacentral:rRNA from 1 species
GACGAACGCUGGCGGCGUGCUUAACACAUGCAAGUCGAACGGAAAGGCCCUGCUUUUGUGGGGUGCUCGAGUGGCGAACGGGUGAGUAACACGUGAGUAACCUGCCCUUGACUUUGGGAUAACUUCAGGAAACUGGGGCUAAUACCGGAUAGGAGCUCCUGCUGCAUGGUGGGGGUUGGAAAGUUUCGGCGGUUGGGGAUGGACUCGCGGCUUAUCAGCUUGUUGGUGGGGUAGUGGCUUACCAAGGCUUUGACGGGUAGCCGGCCUGAGAGGGUGACCGGCCACCUUGGGACUGAGCUACGGCCCAGAGUCCUACGGGAGGCAGCAGUGGGGAAUAUUGCACAAUGGGCGGAAGCCUGAUGAAGCAACGCCGCGUGCGGGAUGACGGCCUUCGGGUUGUAAACCGCUUUCGCCUGUGACGAAGCGUGAGUGACGGUAAUGGGUAAAGAAGCACCGGCUAACUACGUG